UGGGGAAUAUUGCACAAUGGGCGCAAGCCUGAUGCAGCGACGCCGCGUGAGGGAUGAAGGCCUUCGGGUUGUAAACCUCUUUCAGUAGGGAAGAAGCGAAAGUGACGGUACCUGCAGAAGAAGCGCCGGCUAACUACGUGCCAGCAGCCGCGGUAAUACGUAGGGCGCAAGCGUUAUCCGGAAUUAUUGGGCGUAAAGAGCUCGUAGGCGGUUUGUCGCGUCUGCCGUGAAAGUCCGGGGCUUAACUCCGGAUCUGCGGUGGGUACGGGCAGACUUGAGUGAUGUAGGGGAGACUGGAAUUCCUGGUGUAGCGGUGAAAUGCGCAGAUAUCAGGAGGAACACCGAUGGCGAAGGCAGGUCUCUGGGCAUUAACUGACGCUGAGGAGCGAAAGCAUGGGGAGCGAACAGGAUUAGAUACCCCUGUAUUCCCUGAGCGGGCUGGCAAGGCGCAU
rnacentral:rRNA from 1 species